CCUUAAUGGACUGUGAAAUAACUUUAACUGCAUUAACCUCUCCGGAUCACAUGGGUGGCACCAACAUCCACUCCUGAAAUUCUCAUUCGCUUAUAGAGACAAUACUAUUAGAUUAUUAUAUUUUCCAUUUGCAAUAGCAAUAGGCUUGAAGCAAUUAUGCAGCUAAGCAUUUCCAUUAAGCCAAUAGGACCUUAAAGAAGAUUAACUAGAGCACCUUUUGCAUCAGAUGGAAGGGGGUGGGGGAAGAAAACUCUGACUCUCACCAGAGUUCAGGUAUCUUCAAACUUGAAGGUAGCUGGUCUUACUAGACACAGAUACCUAAUGGAAAAAGUCUCACUGAAGGGUGCCAAGAAGAACUAUGAUUCCCUCUCAUGGCUACACAGCUUAGCCAGAUCUACACAAAGUAAAUCAAAUUGGAUAUUGAAAUCAGGCAGCACCAGAUAA
rnacentral:lncRNA from 1 species